UACUUCCUCUGUCUUGUCAUGGUCUGACCUACCCAUCACUGACUCUGGGCAUGGAAGAGGUUGCUCUAACUGGUACAUGGAAAAAAGAGCCUGUUCUAACUGAGGGGUCUUUCUCUGUCCUUUUCUUAAAUAUAGUUACAAGAAAACUGGACAAAUAAAGUUAGCAGAAAGCCAGA